ACUAUUUUGGGGCAAAACUCACAUAGUAAGAAACUGACAGAGGCCUCUGGCAGGCAGACAGCAAGAACUGAGGCACUCAGUUCAACAACCUGCUGGGAACCGAAUGUUUCCAACAGCUAUGUAAGCAUGGAUGGAAGUGGAUCCUUCCCCAGUCAAGCUCGGAUGAGACUGCAGCCCCAGCCAAUGCACUGAUUGCAGCUUUGUGAGAACCUGAAGCAAAAGACUCUCCCAAAUCAAACAAGAAACUAUGAGAUUAUGACAUUGUACUAACAGAAGCCUCUGAGAUUGUGGACACACAGAAGUCAUGAGUCCUGCCUGUCUCUCCGUGAGAUUGGCUAGGUAAACCAAAGACCUCAACAGUAGAAAGUGAGAAGUGAUGGAUGACAUUUUCAGACCUGGAUCACAAAAAUUUCUCAUGUGGUGAAACUCAACAGCCUCUCUCCAUUUUGAUAAUAACUGAAAUAAUGUCCACCAGGCAGGGUGACUGGAUCACUCUGUGGGAAGGAAAUCACACCAACUUGUUCCCCUGUCCUGUAUUGUCACAAUGAAGAAACAAACUUCUAUUGUGUUGAGUCAAUAUAUAUUUUGGAGUCUCUUUGUUAGAGCAAUUCACCUACAUGAAGUAAAACAGGAAUCUUCUAUAAACAUCUGCAGUUAAAUAGCCUCUUCUCUCUACACUUCCUUCUAUUAAUCAUGGCACAUUUUUCUUCUGAAUCUCGAUGAAGCUCAAAUUCUUCCAAAACCCAGUGCUACAACAGCCAAUGUCAAGUGAAUAAAAUGAUGACAUAAAGUAAAACCUGAUAUCAUCAUAUUAACUCCAACUAACUUAUAGAUGCAAGAAUGGAGGCCUGGAGACAUCCCUUGGGACUUGAAGCUGGACAUAGAUAUCAGGGCCCUCUGUCCAUUACUGCAGGCUGCAACAUAUCAUAUCAAAAGAAAAGAAGAUGCAAUUAAGAUACAAGAUUUGGUGAGAUGG